CGAUUUUCUCCUCAGACAAGUGUUUCUGUUUUGUGGUCGAUUCUGGGAUCCUUUUCUUGGUGUGUCUUGAUGUUUUCUAUUGGCUAAAGACAUGUCUCUGUGAAACUGACAAUCUCAGGUAGGAACUGCUGGUUUGUGGUUGGCAGUAUGGAUCACAGUCUGCGACUCAUGAGGAGCUGGGCUGGAGACAUGAAGAGGUUGUCAACAGAGGUCUGAAGCUAAUACCUGCCACGGUCUGAUUGGUAUUUCAUUAGGAAUCAUGGGUUCCUUGGUAUUUGAAUUAUGUUGAACCAGGCAAGUACUCCAUCUUUCGAUCAUGUGUUCUAUCUGCUUACACAUUUCUAGCCAGAAUAACAUUUCGUGCUCUUAGCUUAGACUUCUCAGCGUGUGCGCAUAUCUCAGGUCAGAUAUGACUAUUUUCUUAUCUUCACUGGUCAAUGAAAGUUUGUCUUAAAAGUCAAUAAUGUAUGUGGGAAAUUGUCUCCUCUUUGCAGGCCAUCCAUCCAAGAUCAUCUAUCUGAGCUGCAGAAAACUGCCUCGGUACGGAUCUGUUGGAGCUUUGUGUCACUGACUGUAUUUCUGGAAAUUCCUGUUCCGUGUCACAUGGCUUAUGCAAGACUGAAUCCAUAAAGGGGAUGGUCUGUGGAGACUGUGGGCGAUUCCUUCUGCUGUCAUUUAAACAUGAGCAGGAGUAAUGACGGGAUUUAAAUGGACGCAGCUAAUAUUAUGCCAGCGUCCGCUGCUUAUGCUGUAACCAUAAAGUUACCAGGACAACACACCUGGAGUGACCGAGAGCAGGAUGAAGAAAGAAUCGGACGAGAAAAUAUCAACUGGUGCCCAUGAGGAGACAUAUUGUUCUUGGACCUGCUUUUUCUGUUUAGUAAUAAGUGGUUUUA